rnacentral:pre_miRNA from 10 species
UGGUCUUUUGAGGCAAAGUUCUGAGACACUCCGACUCUGAGUAUGAUAGAAGUCAGUGCACUACAGAACUUUGUCUCUAGAGGCUG